rnacentral:snoRNA from 1 species
CAGAUACAUGUUAAUUAAAGAAAUCAUCUCACUGAUUACUUGGUGAUGAGAAAAGAUCUGAUACUCUG